AGAGUUUGAUCAUGGCUCAGAUUGAACGCUGGCGGCAGGCCUAACACAUGCAAGUCGAACGGUAACAGAAAGCAGCUUGCUGCUUUGCUGACGAGUGGCGGACGGGUGAGUAAUGUCUGGGAAACUGCCUGAUGGAGGGGGAUAACUACUGGAAACGGUAGCUAAUACCGCAUAACGUCGCAAGACCAAAGAGGGGGACCUUCGGGCCUCUUGCCAUCGGAUGUGCCCAGAUGGGAUUAGCUAGUAGGUGGGGUAAAGGCUCACCUAGGCGACGAUCCCUAGCUGGUCUGAGAGGAUGACCAGCCACACUGGAACUGAGACACGGUCCAGACUCCUACGGGAGGCAGCAGUGGGGAAUAUUGCACAAUGGGCGCAAGCCUGAUGCAGCCAUGCCGCGUGUAUGAAGAAGGCCUUCGGGUUGUAAAGUACUUUCAGCGGGGAGGAAGGGAGUAAAGUUAAUACCUUUGCUCAUUGACGUUACCCGCAGAAGAAGCACCGGCUAACUCCGUGCCAGCAGCCGCGGUAAUACGGAUGGUGCAAGCGUUAAUCGGAAUUACUGGGCGUAAAGCGCACGCAGGCGGUUUGUUAAGUCAGAUGUGAAAUCCCCGGGCUCAACCUGGGAACUGCAUCUGAUACUGGCAAGCUUGAGUCUCGUAGAGGGGGGUAGAAUUCCAGGUGUAGCGGUGAAAUGCGUAGAGAUCUGGAGGAAUACCGGUGGCGAAGGCGGCCCCCUGGACGAAGACUGACGCUCAGGUGCGAAAGCGUGGGGAGCAAACAGGAUUAGAUACCCUGGUAGUCCACGCCGUAAACGAUGUCGACUUGGAGGUUGUGCCCUUGAGGCGUGGCUUCCGGAGCUAACGCGUUAAGUCGACCGCCUGGGGAGUACGGCCGCAAGGUUAAAACUCAAAUGAAUUGACGGGGGCCCGCACAAGCGGUGGAGCAUGUGGUUUAAUUCGAUGCAACGCGAAGAACCUUACCUGGUCUUGACAUCCACGGAAGUUUUCAGAGAUGAGAAUGUGCCUUCGGGAACCGUGAGACAGGUGCUGCAUGGCUGUCGUCAGCUCGUGUUGUGAAAUGUUGGGUUAAGUCCCGCAACGAGCGCAACCCUUAUCCUUUGUUGCCAGCGGUCCGGCCGGGAACUCAAAGGAGACUGCCAGUGAUAAACUGGAGGAAGGCGGGGAUGACGUCAAGUCAUCAUGGCCCUUACGACCAGGGCUACACACGUGCUACAAUGGCGCAUACAAAGAGAAGCGACCUCGCGAGAGCAAGCGGACCUCAUAAAGUGCGUCGUAGUCCGGAUUGGAGUCUGCAACUCGACUCCAUGAAGUCGGAAUCGCUAGUAAUCGUGGAUCAGAAUGCCACGGUGAAUACGUUCCCGGGCCUUGUACACACCGCCCGUCACACCAUGGGAGUGGGUUGCAAAAGAAGUAGGUAGCUUAACCUUCGGGAGGGCGCUUACCACUUUGUGAUUCAUGACUGGGGUGAAGUCGUAACAAGGUAACCGUAGGGGAACCUGCGGUUGGAUCACCU
rnacentral:rRNA from 1 species